CCAAAACCCACCAAACCAUCACCCACCUUCCUUCCAAAACCCAACCAUGUCUGCACAAAAAAAACCUCAAACAAUAAUUUAAAAAAAUUCAAAAAAAUUCCGACGACCACCAAUCCUCCUCCUUUCAAGGGUGUUACGAAGAAUCAGAUCAAAUUUACCGGAUUAGAUCUGGAGAGAGACCCAAAGUUUCGUAUCAAAUAUUGAAAUCAAACAAAACCAACAAAAAGGUAGAUUAUUGAUGUGGGUUUUCUCAUUACUUGAAGAAAACUCACAGAAAACCCAUAAACAAAUGUCGAUUUGUCCAAGUUAGAACAUCUCUUCAUGAUUUGGUUCAACACCGCUGCUUGGGAAAGCUUGUUUGAUUUUUUUAUCACCAUUUUUUUUAGUUUGGUUGCGAAAUUUUUAAUACCGGGCAGAAAUUGAAGGACUGUGAUGAAGGAGGAGGAUCGGUCGA
rnacentral:lncRNA from 1 species